rnacentral:lncRNA from 1 species
UCUCAGGUUGCCAAAUUCGAUCUUGCUCAAAGUUUUUUGAUUUUAGGCUCUGCCAGAAGUAUCAGUCGACUUUGGAGUCCUAGAGUUCUCACCUCGUGAGAGCAUAAGUUCUAAUACUUUGUGGGAUUGUAGGUCUAUAUGUCUAGUGUUUUCCUGUAAAAGGGUUUUGCAUUUGGAGUUCUAAAUCUUCUGGAAUAUUGGUUGUAUUGCUUCAUAACAGUUGGUGUGGGAUCUUUGUGUCGUACUUUGCUGCGUUUAAUUUGGGCGUUUGAAGUGGAUAAGAAUAAAACCAAUGGAUAAAUCAUGGAUGGAAGGUGACUAUUGAAGUCUUGUGGAGUUGAAAUGUUUUUCUAGUUUGCUGCAUCAGAGACAAACUAAAUGAUAAACUCACAAACAUCAGAGAGAACGAGAAGGCCUUUAGAGAUGAUUGGAGCUGUUCUGUUUAGUUGGAGGGAUGAAACCAGAAAAUUAAACUGAGGGGUGCUAAAUUUUAGGUUGCCAAAACAAGUGGGCGGUGGUGAAUGUGGCUACUAUGUCAUGAGAUACAUGAAGGAACUGAUUGAGGAUCCAAUGCUUUCUUUUGCACAUAAGGAAGUCGAAGAGAACUAGCUACUCUCAAGAGCAAAUUGAUGAGGUGCGGAUUGAAUGGAGUGAGUUUGUUACAAGGAAAUACUUGUAGAUGUUUAUGAUCAAGCGUGAUAUUUGUAGUGCUGCUUUUUAUGGAACAAGUAGUCUUUGUUGAUCGUAUGUUAAGUUGGACAGAAUUAUUUAAGUUUCAUUGUUUAAUAUGUAGUAGUACUUAAGUA